CGGACGGGCGAGUAAUGCUUGGGAAUCUAGCUUAUGGAGGGGGAUAACUACGGGAAACUGUAGCUAAUACCGCGUAAUAUCGAAAGAUUAAAGUGUGGGACCUUCGGGCCACAUGCCAUAGGAUGAGCCCAAGUGGGAUUAGGUAGUUGGUGAGGUAAAGGCUCACCAAGCCGACGAUCUCUAGCUGGUCUGAGAGGAUGACCAGCCACACUGGGACUGAGACACGGCCCAG
rnacentral:rRNA from 1 species